rnacentral:rRNA from 1 species
CCUACGGGAGGCAGCAGUGGGGGAUAUUGCACAAUGGGGGGAACCCUGAUGCAGCGACGCCGCGUGGGUGAAGAAGCGCCUCGGCGCGUAAAGCCCUGUCAGCAGGGAAGAAAAUGACGGUACCUGAAGAAGAAGCCCCGGCUAACUACGUGCCAGCAGCCGCGGUAAUACGUAGGGGGCAAGCGUUAUCCGGAUUUACUGGGUGUAAAGGGGGCGCAGACGGCGAUGCAAGCCAGGAGUGAAAGCCCGGGGCCCAACCCCGGGACUGCUCUUGGAACUGCGUGGCUGGAGUGCAGGAGGGGCAGGCGGAAUUCCUGGUGUAGCGGUGAAAUGCGUAGAUAUCAUACAGAACACCGAUUGCGAAGGCAGCUUACCAAGCUACUUCUGACGUUGAGGCACGAAAGCGUGGGGAGCAAACAGGAUUAGAUACCCCGGUAGUC